CCUUUAAACUCCAAUUUUUUAACUGCUAACAUGCAGUUCACGGCAGUUUCCCAGGCUCCGCCUUUUCCUGCCCAUUUUCUCCACAAAACUGCAUCGUGGUUUGCAGUUGUCGAUGGUCUCCUCUCCUCUGCAGUUAUCAACGGUUCAGUAGCCCGCUCCCCCUUCUUAUUUUUAGGGUUGUUUCCUCUCUAAACACCUAAACUUGUGUCACCCUUCUUUAUCACCUAAACUUGGGUUGCAGUUGUCGAUGGUCUCCUCUCCUCUGCAUCGUCUCAGAUAUAUCACUAAAUCCUUACCGCAAAUUCCACGAAUUCAUCAUCGCCGCCGAUGAAAUUGAUAACCGGAGCCGGAGCGUUGACGAAAAUCUGUGACGUUAGGGUUGUGGAGCUUCAUUUUUUCAUUCUCUGAUAUAUCACCAAAUCCUUACCGCAACUUCCAAGAUGGUGAUUUAGGGAUUGGUUUCAAUCACCAUAUGUUACUUCCAAAUGUGUCACAAGCGUGACUUAGUUCUCUAGCGAUGGUGAAGAUAUAUCCCUCCGAUCAGUACGUACCCACUCGGAUCCAUCACCCAGACGUUUGCCGGUCAUGUCUCAACCCCUUAUCUCGCAGCUUUCUCGAUCAAAAAAUGGGGAUUAUGGGAUGCAAUUUUAUUCCUUAAGAGAAUUGAUGUGGACAAAUAUAUUUCUGAGGGUCAAAUGGAAGAGCUUACGAGUUGAGAAGCAAAGGUUACAUAAGCACACAUUGAAUGCAAACAGUGAAGUGCAGUCUGAACAUGAGCAGCAAGCCCUUCCUCUAUGUGCAGAUUUGAAUACUAAAGCAACUAAGUGAUGAAUUUGGAAAAAGACGAAAUUGCAGUCCGUAUGAAGUUAAAACAUUAACUGUUGGUUCUUUUCUUGGAUCCGAGGUUGUAACAUCCCUUUGGAAUCUCGGUGAGGAACAUGAGGCUUUAAAGAAGAAAUAUCAAGAAGAAUGCCAUGUUUUGAAGUACACAUGUCAAUUAGAGUUCACAGAGAAAAGGCAACAUUGGUAAUACAACAUCUAUCUAUUAUUUUUGUUGUUUCCACUGUAGUUACUGUUUUUGUUUUUUUGCUGCACAUUGCUUCUCAUACUAUGUGAAAUCACUGGUGAUGAAUAUGGAAAUAGCAAGAUGGUGAUUGUAGCAACACCAACUAAGGAAGAAACUGUGAGCCAAGUACUCGUAGUUAAACUGCCGAAGCGGAACAAUGAACCGAACCUGUUGACUCACUUUUUUUGGGAGGUUCACUUGGGUCAACGGUUUAUGAAUGCCCUUGUGGUAUGUCUUAGCACUCGAGGCUGAGGAGUUUGUAGAAGCCCAAUCGAUUUAAAGAGUAGAUGACGGUCAAGUUUAUUAAUUUGAAGUAAAAUGUUAUGUUACGUUUUUUAACUUACAAUAAGUUAUUAAUUUGAAGUUAAAUGUUGACUGAUGCCAUAACAUGUAUUUAUGGUGCUGGCCUCUUGCAGGAACUUUAAAAAGAUGUUCUUUUUAAUGUUUAUACCUUAAAACGAAAAGGACAUUAAAAGUUCUUUUCUUCAUCUUCUUGCCAUCUAAAAUCCAGGAAAGAGGUUUUUCGCUUUUUUAGAAGCCAUUUGAAAGAGACGACUUCAGUUCGGCCGGCCUUGUGUUGUUCGGGUAUGAAGACUAUCGAUGAGCAGGGGCGUAUUUUCUUAGUUGAUUCUUUUUCAAAACAAGAGAUUAAAGAUGCGGUUUUUGAGUGUGGUUCUAAUAAGGCGCCAGGACCCGACGGUUUCAACUUUCGGUUUCUCAAGCGCUUUUGGAGCUUGUUCGAGGAGGAUUUUUACAAGAUUAUGACAGAAUUUCACGUUUCAGGUAUUAUUAAUUCUGGUUGCGGGUCCUCCUUUAUUACCUUGAUUCCAAAGGUUAAAUCUCCUAUGGGGCUUAAAGACUAUAGGCCUAUUACUCUUAUUGGUAU